CUGCUUUUCUACUUCUAGAAAGAAGGCAGAAUCUAGGAUUUCUGCUCAGGGUGCACAUUACUGCAGAGGCGAGUGGCACUCCAGGAGCAUUUUGAUGACUUAUUUUUAUGUAUGAGUGAGUUGAUUGAAAAUCCUCCUAGCUCCCACUUCACCUGGCCAUUUGGUGCUUGACUUUUGUCUUUGAGUGGAGCAGAACUACUGAUGAUAAUGGCAGCAGUGACUUCAGUUAAAGAAUCCCAGGGUCUACCUGAGACUUUCUGCAGCUCCAUGAUUUCAGCUUUAUGACCCUUAAUUGACAUUUCAAAAAGGCUUUCCUUACCAUGUGCUGAUUGAAAAAUAAAUAGUUUAGCAAAGAGAGGUCCUUCUUUCCAUGAAUUUGUCCCCACUGGUCACUUAAAUAGUGUGUGUUUAGGUGAAGUACCCUUUACUUCUGUAGGAGGAAACAAAGACUUUUUAAAACCACAUUAUUGCUGCAGCCCCAGAAGCUGAGAAGAAAGAGAACAGAUGGGUGGCUCUUCUCAAAGAAUGUUGCCUUCGUCUGGAUUUCCUCUUCUUAAACAUUUAUCUUCUUGUUCCUUGAAGGCUUUUAGGAAUUGUUAAUUCCACAGUGGCUGCAUGGUAACUGUUGAUUGGUGGUGGCUUAUUUUGGUGAGUGUGUCCAACAGAGGUAUACAGAAGGAAGAUUCUAACCCCAAGAUGAUGUAGCUCUUGAAGAAAGCAGGAGAGACUUCUGGGACUUACGAUGAUAAAGGACAUGGAGCUUCCCCUUCUAUCUGAGUGUGAACUGGACUUAGUGAGUCACUUCUGAUGAGUAGAAAGAAAAAUGAAAAUGUGAUUUCAGAAAUGCGGUCAUAUAAAGCACUGCAGCUUCUUGCUUGCAAUCUCACCUGCUUUUGGAUCACUCAGAUGAGGACACCCAGGAACUAGUGAGAAACUGAAGCUUUCUGCCAAGACCCAGUAGGAAAUGUAGCUGUCUGUCAUUAGCUGUCAGUGGGCUAUCUUCAGGUGGAUCCACUAGUGCUGGCCUUGAGAUGACUGCAUGCUGGCUGACAUGUUUGCAACCUCACGAGAUACCCUGGGCAGAACCACAUAGCUAAGCUGCUCCUGGAUUUCUGACUCUCAGAC